CAGUCGCCACGGGAAUACGUAUGUCACAAGCGUUAUCCGGAUUUAUUGGGCGUGAAGCGAGCGCAGGCGGCUAGAUAAGUCUGAAGCUAAAGGCUGUGGCUUAACCAUAGUACGCUUUGGAAACUGUUUAACUUGAGUGCAAGAGGGGAGAGUGGAAUUCCAUGUGUAGCGGUGAAAUGCGUAGAUAUAUGGAGGAACACCGGUGGCGAAAGCGGCUCUCUGGCUUGUAACUGACGCUGAGGCUCGAAAGCGUGGGGAGCAAACAGGAUUAGAUACCCCUGUAGUCCCUGUCUCUUAUACA
rnacentral:rRNA from 1 species